rnacentral:rRNA from 1 species
GUACGCUGGCGGUGCGCCUUAUGCAUGCAAGUCGAGCGAAGCUUUUCAGUAGUUUACUACAGAAAAUGACUGAGCGGCGAACGGGUGAGUAACGCGUGAGCAACCUACCUUAGUUACUGGGAUAGCCCGAGGAAACUCGGAUUAAUACCGGAUAUUCUUAUUUAAUCACAUGAUUUUUUAAGGAAAGGUCAGCCGAACUAAGAUGGGCUCGCGUUCUAUCAGCUAGUUGGUAGGGUAAUGGCCUACCAAGGCUACGACGGAUAGCUGGUCUGAGAGGACGAUCAGCCACACUGGGACUGAGACACGGCCCAGACUCCUACGGGAGGCAGCAGUGGGGAAUUUUCCGCAAUGGGCGAAAGCCUGACGGAGCAACGCCGCGUGAGGGAUGAAGGCCUCUGGGCUGUAAACCUCUUUUAUCAAGGAAGAAGAUCUGACGGUACUUGAUGA